GGGAGCCCAGCACUGAGCCCAGGGCUCGUGUUCCUCUGUGGCUUCCCGAUACUGUGGCUGUGUGGUGGAGGGCCCACGUCCUGGUGCUCUGACUGGAAUGGGCCCUCUCAGCAGUAGCCAGGCCAAGGCCUCUGGGCCCUAACUAUCCGGGCCUUCUCUGGCCUCUACCUGACCCCUGUCGCGGGACGUCCUUCUGAUAAGCUGGAGCUCUCAGGAUGCCAGAGUUUGGGAGCAAGAGAGGUCGCUCAAGGCCUCUGGCCAGCCCAGACAGGAAGGGAGUGCCUGGAGCAGCCGCCCCAACGAGGUCAUGGGACACUGCUAGCACCCAGGUGGAGCAAAGCCCUGCGGCCUCUUCUGGGAACACACGUGGCCCCGACCGCUUCUCUUUUCCAAUUCUGUCCCUCAGGGCCCCUGGACGUCCUGAUGGAAAUCACCCCCGAGGGCCCAGCUCAGGGCCUUUGCGGCUGGGCCAGUCCGCUCGAGUAAGAGGGUCCACAUUUAGUGAUAUACAUCCGUGGAUUUAAAAUUGCAGUCACAUGCAGGAGUCCAGAGGACCCGGAGGUGCCAGGUCAGCUGACAAGGGUGUUUGGAAGCUCCGGGUGGCCUCAGUAUAAAUAGCGCAGGUCAGCAUAGCUCGGGGCUAAAAUUAGCUGUAGAAUCAGCCCUCCCAGCCCCCCGGCUUGUUUGGGGCCCUCCUCAGGAGCAGAGGCAGCAUGGAAGGCACCGAGUCCACAGCCAGGGCGUCCACCAAAAGCACCAAGAAAACCUUUCUUGAGGCCCUGAAGGCCAAUGACUUUGGAAAGCUGAAGGCUCUUUUGGUCCAAAGGAAAAUCGAUGUGGAUACCGUGUUUGAGGUAGAGGAUGAGAACAUGGUCUUGGCAUCUUAUAAACAAGGGUACUGGCUGCCCAACUACAAGCUGAAGUCCUCCUGGGCCACGGGCCUGCAUCUGUCUGUCCUGUUUGGCCACACUGAGAGCCUCUUAGUACUGCUGGACCAUCACGCUACCAUCAACUGUCGACCCAAUGGGAAGACCCCGCUGCACGUGGCCUGUGAGGUGGCCAACGUUGAGUGUGUCAAGAUCCUCUGUGACCACGGAGCCAAGCUCAACGCCUACUCCCUGAGUGGCCUCACAGCCUUGCACCUGUGCACCACGGAAAGCUCAAUAGUCUGUGCCAAGCAGCUGGUGUGGAGAGGCGCCAACGUGAACGCGAAGAGCAACAACGCGGCCGAGGAGACGCCCCUGCACGCGGCGGCGCGCGGCGGCCUGCCCGAGCUGGCCGCCUUCUACGUGGAGCACGGCGCCCUGGUGGACAGCGUCAACGCGCACCUGGAGACGCCGCUGGCGCUGGCCGCCUACUGGGCGCUGCGCUUCCGGGAGCAGGAGUACAGCGCGCCGCACCACCGCCUGUGCCGCCUGCUGCUGGCCGCCAAGGCGCAGGUCAACGCCCGCGACGACGACUUCAAGGCGCCGCUGCACAAGGCCGCCUGGAACUGCGACCAGGCGGCCAUGCGGCUGCUGCUCGAGGCGGGCGCCGAGGCCAACCUGCUCGACGUCAACGGCUGCGCCGCCAUCCAGUACGUGCUCAAGGUGACGCCGGUGCGGCCCGCCGCCUGCCCGCACCGCUGCUACCAGCUGCUGCUCAACCACGGCGCAGCGCGCAUCUACCCGCCGCAGUUCCACAAGGGUCCUGCCCAGCCGCCCCUUGGAGGGACUUCCAGGAGGGCCCGGGACCUCCCCUUCCCGAGCCCCGGUGCCUGCCCCUCCUGGGUGAUCUCCCUGGCCGGCUCUGCCCAGCCGCCCCCCAUUUAAGAGCUGAGAAGAGGCACCCCCCAAGGGCCCCAGGUGGAGUUUGAAUCUGUGGCUUUCCGUGGAAUCCCGGCCUCGAGCGUCAGUGACGUGCCGGGGACACACCGAGGGUCGGGUGGGAGCAUCCAGCCGGGCAGCCAGAGCCAGAAGCCUGAGGUCGGGGAGCUUCCAGCCAGGGGAUCCCCGACCAGAUCCCUGCUGCUGCCGUUUGUGUGGGGCGCCCCCCCCAAAGAAGGCCCCGUGGGACAGCUUCCAUUUGGGGAGCCCAGGUGCUGGAGUCUUGCCACGCCUGCCCCCUAGCGGUCGAGGUGGUCGUCAAUGCCUAUGAGCACAUCGUGUGGACCCCCAAGUGGAAGAAGGCGAUCCCAGAGGACAGCCUGGAGAGGCACGGCGCCUUCUAC